GUGCGUGUAGCUCAGCUGGAUAGAGCGUCUGGCUACGGACCAGAAGGUCGAGGGUUCGAAUCCUUUCACGCACG
rfam:Firmicutes bacterium CAG:194 genomic scaffold, scf34